GGGAAGAUGGCCGAGCGGUUAUGGCGCUACGUUCAGGUCCUUCGGUAAAAGAAUUUGACGAUUCUGACGAAGAAGAUUCGUAGUAGGGCAACCUGCGUGGGUUCGAGUCCCACUCUUCUCA
rnacentral:tRNA from 2 species